GCCAUUGUAGAUUGCUACUUCAAAAUAAAAGUAGUUACUAGAUCUGCUGAUAGAUCUUGUAUUUAGUGUUAAUAAAAACACACUUAACAAUUUAAAAAUAUUUUGAUAACUAUUAUUUUAAUGGCAGUUUCCUUUUGCAAACCUAUGUAUUUUAUUCUUUUAAACAUCACUGAGCAGAUUCACAGAUUUCAUCGAAUUGCCAAAGGGGUCCAUGACUCAGAAUGCACUGUGUCUUAAAGCAGGUCCUCCUAAGCAAGGGGUAUUGAAAGGGGAUCCACCUCAGAGACCUAAGACGCAGGUUCUAAUCCUGACAAGUUGCUUGACCUCAGACAGGCUUCUGUCUCUCAUGCCUUCACUUUUAUCUCUAUUAAAAUAGAAGUGGGCCAGGUGCAGUGGCUCACAGCUGUAAAAAGCACUUAGGGAGGCCAAGUGGGGAGGAUAGCUUGAGGCCAGGAGUUGAGACCAGCCUGGGCAACAAAGCAAGAACCCAUCUCUACAAAAAAAAAAAAAAAGCAGCAUCUGAAGCAGCAUGUGGGGAGCAAACGAGAUGCAAUUGUGAAUGUCUCCUGACAGCAGCUUCUCAAGCUCAGGUGAGAGGUUAAGGAAGCUAGUGGAAGGCUGGGUGUGGUGGCUCACACCUCUAAUCCCAGCACUUUGGGAGGCCGAAGUGGGAGGAUCACUUGAGGUCAGGAGUUCAAGACCAGCCUGGGCAACAUGGUGAAACCGUCUCUACUGAAAAUACAAAAACUAGCCAGGCAUGGUGACAUGUGCCUAUAAUCCCAGCUACUCGGGAGGCUGAGACUGCAGGUGCCAGAGUUCAGCACAGCAGGUUUGACUCCCCUGUAUCAGCUGCAUGAUGCUGAGCAAGUUAACAUCUCUGAAGAUCAAUUUUCCCUUGCAAAGAUGAAGGCAAAUGCCUUCCAUUGUGAGGAACCAUCAAAAUAAUGGAGGGGAUACUAGUGAAUGUUAGUGGGCGCCAGUGCUUGUCCCUCCCAUCCAGAGACCUGGUCCCCCCUAUCCAGGAGUCUUGAUUUCAAUGGUCGAAGGCCCUUCCCACAGCUUUCCAGUGAUGCAGACAGGCUGAGGUAUGCCCUUUUCUUCAGAAAACUGGCUGUUACAAUUUGCAAAGCCCGAUGCAAAAUAUUUUCAAAAUUGCUAUUAAAAAAAUUAAGAAUUUAAAGUCGAUGACAGAACAUGCAACCAAACAGGGGGCCUCCUGACUAUGGGGCCCUUUGUGACAGCACAGCCUAUGAAGACGGUCUGUCUCCAACUCACAUGGCUCUUCCCACCCUGGUUCCACACUACAAUCACCUGCAGAACUUUAGAAAGUAGAGAUGCCCUUGUACCUCCCCUGAGAUAUUUCAAACACCAAAGAGGCCCCCAGGGGACCGCAGCAGGCAGGCACGGUGGAGAGCUACUGGAGUAGAGCCUUAGGAUGCCUUGGAAGACUGUCAUGGCCCAACAUCCACAAGCAGCAGGCAAAACUGUCCCCAUAAAGCCCAGAUAAGACAAAUACUUGCAAAUGUAACAUCUCAGGGUCUUUAGGACCCGUAUCACGUGCCCCAUGGAAAAAGCUAUUAAUGCCUCCCACCCCUAUGAGGCUGCCUUACUGUGCAGACAGCAGAGGAUGCUCAUGAGUUCAGCAUCUCCCCUUCCAGGUUUUCACCGGCACAGCCCACUCCAGAGGAACCUGCUUCCCCGUGUCCUUUGUAGAGCUAUGGUGUGUGACUAGGUGGGGAGGCAAGCAGCAGCUUAUGUGCGACUUCCCAGCGGUGUUAAGGACAUGACCUUCUGUCCUAGUUGGCGCUUAAGGUGUCAUCUGAGACUAUGUGUUGAAGAUGUGUGUGGCAGGGGGCAUGGGAAGAUAGAAAUCAUGAUCCCUGCUGAUCAUAAGGCCACAGUACCUAGAUCUUGGUUAUUCCUCCUCCCCCUACAAAAGAAAAAAAGCAAGCAGGGCUCAGGGGGUGGGGGAGACAGAGGGAAGCCAACUUCUCUUAAGUCAGUAGAUUGCAUCAUUAGGCCAAAUGCCUGACAUGACCCAUUUUACAGAAGAGUAAAAUAGACUCAGAUGACAUCCCCCUAGCUGAACGAGGCAGGGAUUUCCCAUCUUCAGCUGCAUUCGCUUAUAACUAAAAAAAAGGUGGCUUCUCAGAGUAGAAGGAUGGUUGCCAGGAGUUGGGGGAAACGGGGAGAUGUUGAUCAAAGGGCACAAUCUUUGUCAUGACAUGAACAAAUUUUGGGUUGUAAGGCACAGCAUGAGUGGUGGCAGCUGUGUUAAUCUGUGGUAGUCAUUACACGAUGCUUAGGUAUUUCCAAUCAACACAUUAUAGACACCGAAUAUAUACAGUCUUUGUCUGUUAAAUAUUUAAAAGAGGCAGCUUUUGGCCAGGCAUGGUG
rnacentral:lncRNA from 1 species